AGGAGAGGAUCUGAAAGGAGGGGGAAAUCCAGGACUCCCCGCUCUUGCAGAAGAGUAAACUGAUCCAGUGCAAUUCACAGAAGACAGCUGAGAAGGUGCAAUACUACGCAGUGUAACAGAUGGUCUUCUCAUGUUGGUGAGGAAACAAGCAGAAGAAAUCCACACCUGACCUACAUUCUAUGGAUUUCUAAACAUGGAGGAGGACUAUACCUCAUCUUUGAAAACACCAGUUCCUGACAAUGCCGCAAAGCAAUGGUGACCUCACCCACUACAAAAGUCUUUGUUCCUGUCAGCUAAGUAAUUUUUUUUUAAUGUUAACUUGGUCCUAUUUUUUUUUUUUCCUAGCUUUGCAGACUACUCUAAGUGGAAAUGGAACUUCAGAACUGGGAUAAAGUUAGUUACCUAUAUUUUAAGUACCAUAUUCUUAUCAUAUAUGGUCACUUAUCAUCUAAGAAUGAUGGAAGCCAUAUUGAACAUAUAAUGCAAAAAUAUCUGGGAAGUCUAUUUUGUGAUAAGUAUUCUAGGAAAUUAGGUCAGUAGUAAUUAUUAUCAGCGUGGUUAAAUUUGAGUUUCCUGUUUGCUUUUUUUCUUCUAAUUACAUACUAUUGAAACAGAAAAGAGGAAGAAAAAUAAUUUUUGUUUGAAAAACCAACUACAGGCUCUCUAAUGUGUCAUAAUUAUUUUAAUUUAAAACAUUUAUAACAAGAUGUUGGUUAUCUCAAUGUAAUUAAAAAAAGAAGCCAUUGUUAAGAAAUUAGUUGAUAGAUGAAGGAUCAGAAAUGGCAUAAGCUUAUUAACUAUACCUUACAGACAUAAAAACGCAUGACAAAAAAGUUUCCCUGGGAAGAACACUUAGAUAAUUCUCUGGGCAAGUUCUGUUCUAUUCCCAGCCAUUGUCUGUAAUUCUGUGCCACAUCUCCUGUGUGCCCAUUUAUCAUUCAGAAUAGGCACGUCACUGAUGCUGAUAUGAUCUUGAUCAAUGAGCAACUGUAUAUUGUUGUUCUGUGGAUAAGCCCUAGAUAACAGUUCCACCAAAUGUAUUUAAGCCUGAGAAUUAGCAAGACGAUGUAUUACUUGACUCUAAGGACAGCUAACAACUGAACAGGGGAUCUCACUUCUUUGCUCUUCCUUUUCAGAUGGUACAAGUCUUCCCUGUUACCUUUUAAAAAUGAGAGGGCUUACUCAGCAUAUACCUUGUUCAUAUCGCUACAGUUAGUACAGCAAAAAAUGCUGGCACAUCACUGACUAUUUAAUGCCACAAGUAAAUAUUAUCACACUUCUCAGCUAGUCUGUGGCUGAAAGAAACUAUGUAAGUGAAGAGCAGCAACAAAGGUAAAGCAGAGGUGUGGAUAACAAAUCCUCAGGGGGAAAACCCAACUCUGAAGAACAAGUGUUUACAUAAAAUUUGAAGAACAAGUGUUGGCAACAGCCUGUGUGCCAAUUCAAAAUAAGGUGGUUAAAUUUUAGAAAGCGGAUGUUUAAGUACUGCAUCUAGACAAUUCUCCCCUUACCCCCUGCCCAAAGCCCAAUAAAAGUUAGAAAUAGCUGCUAUUUAUUACUGUUUGUAUGGUCAAGAGGUUUCUGUAGGCUAUGUGUCGCUGUUCCCAUCUAGAUAAUUUCUGCAGAAAUUGGUUAUCCUGUGUUCUUAAAAAAAAACCAACACAACACGCAAAACCACAAACCACAAAAACAAACCCACACACUAAACCCAACACCUCCCCCCUAGAAAAUACCCAAAAGCUGAAAUAGUGUAUAGCUCACUUCUACGACUACUGUUCAAGCACAAGCAAGUCUUGAGCAAUGAUUGCCUCAAAAUAAUACUUGAUCUUUUAAAAUGGGCUAGUCUAGCUUCUACUGCACAACAAUCACUGAUAUUACCUUUCUUGUGUGGCCCAUUACUGAGGCUGGAUUUGAUAAGGAAGCUAGCAAUGCCUCCCAAGUAUAGGAGAGGAUUUAUGCAGAGUUUUCUCCAUCAGUAUCUUAUAGCACUGGAACACACUGAACCAUAAGCUACAGUGCACUUGAGUCUUAAGGUUAUAAGACACCCCUCUCUCUAAACCAAAUUCUCCAGGAAUGGAAAAAAAUGGAGAAACCCAGUGACGUUUCUUUACAGAAAGCACUCACAUGUGAAAGGCUAGCCAAACAGGGAGAAGAUUCAUUUCCAGUUCCUGUUGUUGAUUCCAACUUGCUGUCAUUACUUUGCCUUGCCUGGGAAAGGGUAAUUUAUUUUUGCCUUUUUUUAAUAAAACUGUUUUCUUCAUUCUGCUUUUCCAAAUACAAAAAGGAACAAACAGACCCUUCAUCCUGCUACCCUGUGACACAGCAUUUGAACCUAGCAGCCUGGCGUUCACAAGCAUGAUUUGUAGAGAAUGUAAGGAAGGAAGAGGGAAUAGCACAUGCUGCCAGCCCCAGGAAGGGAUUGCAGAGCUGCACAAUCUAGGCUAACCGAAACCACGGUCAGGCAACAUGGUAUCUCAGGAGAAAGCUGUCACUGGUUUUGUACAAAGCACUAAUCUUUGCAAGUUUUAAAGUAAACAACCCAUUAAUACUCUAGUACUACUAUAAUGAAUUUGCAGUUACUUUUUUUCUGAUCAGCCUAACAGUAUUCUGUUCUUCCCCUUAUAAAGUUGCAUUACUGUUCCUAAUGGAGCUCCAUGCUUGUUUUCACCCCUUUCAUGAAUUA